rnacentral:rRNA from 1 species
CGAUCUUAGUGGCGGACGGGUGAGUAACGCGUGGGUAACCGUAGCCUUAUACAGGGGGAGUAACACUUAGAAAUAGGCGCUAAUACCGCAUAAGCGCACGGGGCGUGCAUGGCCCAGUGUGAAAAACUCCGGUGGUAUAAGAUGGACCCGCGUCUGAUUAGCUUGUUGGCGGGGUAACGGCCCACCAAGGCGACGAUCAGUAGCCGGCCUGAGAGGGUGGACGGCCACAUUGGGACUGAGACACGGCCCAAACUCCUACGGAAGGCAGCAG